UGCCUGCCCUUAUGUCUGUGCACCAUACAUGCAGUGCCUAUGGAGCCCAGAAGUGGGCAUCAGAUCCCCUGGAACUGGAGUUACCGAAGGUUAUAGGUUACCACGUGGUGUUGGGACCCAAAUCCUGCUCCUCAGCGAGAGCAGCCAGUGCUCUUAACUACUGAACCAUCCCUUCAGUUCCCGACAAACUAUCAUUAAAACCAGUGAAACAGCAUUUUUCUUCAUAAAGGUGUCCAAAUGAGACAGAUUGCAGGUGUGGGAAAAAUAAUCAUCUGGAGUUCAUAACUGCUUAAUCCCAUCUCUGAGGAUGCCACAGAAGCCAUUUGGUGGAUUGUUUCUCAGACUCAAGAUAGAAAGGUUAUGAAGGACCAGUGAAGAUCUGCAGUGAAGAUGUCCAUUUGCCCAGUGAGAGCUCACUGAAUGCGAAGGCCAAGGUUACGUGCUUUGGCAAGCAAUGACGCAAACAUUGGUUGAAGAGUGGAUGACAGAUGAGGUUAAAGAAAAACGAAUGGAAGGUAAAAUGGACUGAAGAGGAACUGAGAUGAUCGCUCAGUCUGUAAAGUGUUUGGAGCUUCAGCAUGCAGCUCUAAGUUCUGAUCCCAAGAAUCCACCCGGCAAUCUGGGUGUAGUUGUGUGGACUUGUAAUCCCAGUUCUGGGGAAGAAGGGACAGAAAGUUUCCUGGAACUCGCUGGCCAGACUGUCUUGUCAAAGCCAUGAGCCCAGGUUCAGUAAGAGACCCUGUCUUCAAACCUCAUGUGCAAAAGUAAUAGAGGAAGCCACGCACAUCAGUCUCUCCACCUCAGGCCUCCACAAACAAACACACAGAUACAUGGACACAUAUGCACAUGCUCACAUGAACUCGUACACACAUAAAAUGAAAACAGCAAUGCUUCUGAUUUGUUUUAUACUUUAUGUUAAAGCGUUUUUUCAAGAAUAAUGUAACAAAUCAAUAAUAUAUAUGUAAUUGUUUCUUGUGUUUGUGUUGCUGUAAUUGCCUUGAUCUGUGUCUAUCUUUACAAGAGUGUAGAUAUUUUUACCCUAAAGUUAUGAUAUGUUACACUCCAGUCACUCUCUAGAGAGGCCUCUCUAGCACCCUCCAAGCAGAUAGAUCUCUUUGGGGGAACAAAUGUGCUUAGCACACUGGGGCCUGGAAAAAUGGCUCCGUGGUUAAGAGCACUUGCUGUUAUUCUAGGGGACCCAAGUUCAGUUUCCAACACCAAUGCUGAAUGAGUUACAACUGCCUAUAGUUAGAGGAUUUAACAUCCUCUUUUGGCCUUCAUAGGGUCUCACACUAAUGUGUGCAUAGAGUCACAUAGACAUACACAUAUAAGCAUAAAUGAAAAUAAAUGCAGAGAUGCUUAGCAUGCAUGUAGUGAGUUGUUAAUUAUAUUGUUUAAAAUGCCUUUCAUAUCUUUAACCAAAUAAGAUUUAGGAUAUCUGAAAAUAUACCCAAGACUCUUCUUUCGCUAGUUGUGAAUUACUAUAAUUAUUCUUUCUUACUCUGCAUGUGACAAUGAGCCAUUUAAUCGGGUCACUGAACUGUCAACUCUAUAGACAUUCUUUAAACUAAAAGCAUGCAUAGAUAGAAGCAUUGUGGUAAAAAUAAAACUUCACUGACGUGUG